GCGGGUAUAGUUUAGUGGUAAAACUACAGCCUUCCAAGCUGUUGUCGCGAGUUCGAUUCUCGUUACCCGCU
rnacentral:tRNA from 1 species